rnacentral:misc_RNA from 1 species
CUCUUCAUGUAAUUUAUGAGUAUAAUCUUCCCAUGCACUAAUUGCAGCAGAAAAUUUUGCCCAAUCAAAGGAAUCUUGACAUUUCUGGCGGUUACUGACACAGCUGAACACCAUCUCCACCAGCUGAUGGUCCCUUAAAACGAAAGAUUUCAAGGCAAUAAUAUUUUCCUUUUGUGAUUGUGAUAAUUGUAUUACCUUGCAAGUUUCAAAGCAAGAAAUAAGCAAUUCCGAGGCUUUCCAACAAUAGAAUUGUACCACCUGAAGUAAGUGCAGAAUAUUGGCAAAUUCAUGUUCAAAUAACUCAUCUGCCCGUGCUAGUUUAACUGGCUCCAUGAGUAUCAUGAUAUCUGAAAAGAAGCUCUUUUCUUGAGAAGAAUAAAUGUCAAACCCAAGCAGAUGUAUUCUUGCACAGCAAAUAUUGAAUCCUGACUGUUGAUUAGAC